rnacentral:rRNA from 1 species
ACAGCAGCCGCCGCGGUAAUACGGAGGAUCCAAGCGUUAUCCGGAAUCAUUGGGUUUAAAGGGUCCGUAGGCGGUCUUGUAAGUCAGUGGUGAAAGCCCAUCGCUCAACGGUGGAACGGCCAUUGAUACUGCAGGACUUGAAUUAUUGGGAAGUAACUAGAAUAUGUAGUGUAGCGGUGAAAUGCUUAGAGAUUACAUGGAAUACCAAUUGCGAAGGCAGGUUACUACCAAUUGAUUGACGCUGAUGGACGAAAGCGUGGGUAGCGAACAGGAUUAGAUACCCGGGUAGUCCCUGUCUCUUAUAC